AUGGGAAAAUAUUUAUUCUUCCUUGUUUAAAAUUCAUUUUGUGAUAUAAGGGACAGAAAGAGUCAACAAUUCUAAUGUUUUUUAUCUUUUUAUCCAGAUUUUAAUAAAGUGUAAGAAGCAUGGCUGAACGUACCUUCCUUUUUAUUUGUGGAAUGAUUCUGACAGUCAGUUGCAAAACCUUUACGAAGUGCGGACUAGCAAAAGAAUUAGCUAGACUUGGAACAUUAGAGAGUGAUAUUGAUGAUUGUAA